rnacentral:tRNA from 1 species
GCCUGGGUGCCUCAGUCAGUUAAGCGUCUGACUUCAGCUCAGGUCAUGAUCUCAUGGCUUGUGGGUUUGAGUCCCACAUCAGGCU